rnacentral:rRNA from 1 species
AACGAACGCUGGCGGCAGGCCUAACACAUGCAAGUCGAGCGCUGUAGCAAUACAGAGCGGCGCACGGGAGAGUAACGCGUGGGAACCUACCUUUUGGUUUGGGAUAACACCGGGAAACUGGUGCUAAUACCGGAUAAGCCCAACUUCAGAAAGCAGAAGACAGAAACAGGGAUCAGAAUAAACUGAUGCCUGAAACGGGAGAUCGAAUAUCAGAAAGCAAAAUCUGAUACCUGAUCCCUGUCCUCUGUUUCCUGAAGUUGGGGAAAGAUUUAUCGCCAUUAGAUGGGCCCGCGUUGGAUUAGCUAGUUGGUGAGGUAACGGCUCACCAAGGCUACGAUCCAUAGCUGGUCUGAGAGGAUGAUCAGCC